UGGGGUGUAGCUCAGUGAUAGAGUAUACAAUUAACAUGUGGGAGACCCUGGGUUCAAUUCCCAGCACCAAAG
rnacentral:tRNA from 1 species